UGGGGAAUAUUGCACAAUGGGGGAAACCCUGAUGCAGCAACGCCGCGUGAAGGAUGAAGGUCUUCGGAUCGUAAACUUCUUUGAUAAGGGAAGAAAAAAAUGACGGUACCUUAAAAACAAGCCACGGCUAACUACGUGCCAGCAGCCGCGGUAAUACGUAGGUGGCAAGCGUUAUCCGGAAUUAUUGGGUGUAAAGGGCGAGUAGGCGGGAUUUUAAGUCAGACGUGAAAACUAUAAGCUUAACUUAUAGAGUGCAUUUGAAACUGAAAUUCUUGAGUAAUGGAGGGGCAGGUAGAAUUCCCAGUGUAGCGGUGAAAUGCGUAGAUAUUGGGAGGAAUACCAGUGGCGAAGGCGACCUGCUGGACAUUUACUGACGCUGAGGCGCGAAAGCGUGGGGAGCAAACA
rnacentral:rRNA from 1 species